rnacentral:rRNA from 1 species
CCUACGGGAGGCUGCAGUGGGGAAUAUUGCGCAAUGGGCGAAAGCCUGACGCAGCGACGCCGCGUGAGGGAUGAAGGUCUUCGGAUCGUAAACCUCUGUCAGCAGGGAAGAACGGUCACUGUGCUAAUCAGCAGUGAAUUGACGGUACCUGCAAAGGAAGCACCGGCUAACUCCGGGCCAGCAGCCGCGGUAAUACGGAGGGUGCGAGCGUUAAUCGGAAUUACUGGGCGUAAAGCGAGCGUAGGCGGUAUGGCAAGUCCAGGGGGAAAUCCCCGCGCUCAACGUUGGGACUGCCUUUGAAACUGGGAAACUGGAGUGUGUGAGAGGUUAGUGGAAUUCCAGGUGUAGGGGUGAAAUGCGUAGAUAUUAGGAGGAACAUCAGUGGCGAAGGCGACUAUCUGGCACAUAACUGACGCUGAGGAGCGAAAGCGUGGGUAGCAAACAGGAUUAGAUACCCUAGUAGUC